rnacentral:lncRNA from 1 species
UCAGUUUAGAGAGAGAGUUGGUUGUACCCUCUUGUUGCUGCUUCAUCAAGAUCUCUAUUUAGAGAGAGAGAGUUGGUUGUUCCUCUUUUUGAUCCGUCAUUGUUCAUUGUUUUAGCUGGAUGUGAUUUUUCCCUUUUCGCUCAUCCCUAUUUAUAAGCUGGAAGUGAUUUUUACCUAUUGGCUCACCCCAAUCUGUCUGCUAGAUUUGAAACUCUGUCAUCUACGGAUCUGAAGCUGCUACCAUUUGUACUUGAGAAUAGCCCUACCACCAGCGCAUCAGCUCCACCUUCAGUACGUCCUAUUCCUCCUGUCUAAUGAUCGAAUUUUCCGUUACUCGAUCUUGUUUGAUGAUCGCGUUUUUUGUUAUUCGAUCCCGUCUAUUAAUCGAGUUUUUCGUUACUUGAUCCCUGAUGUUCCGAAGGCCUAUUUGUCUACUGUUAAUCGAGUUUUUUGUUACUCAAUCUCAGAUGUUUCGAAGGCCUGUUUGUCUGCUGUUUGAUCGAGUUUUUCAUU